ACGAAGGGUGCAAGCGUUACUCGGAAUUACUGGGCGUAAAGCGUGCGUAGGUGGUUCGUUAAGUCUGUCGUGAAAUCCCCGGGCUCAACCUGGGAAUGGCGAUGGAUACUGGCGGGCUAGAGUGCGGUAGAGGAGAGUGGAAUUCCCGGUGUAGCAGUGAAAUGCGUAGAGAUCGGGAGGAACAUCAGUUGCGAAGGCGGCUCUCUGGACCAGCACUGACACUGAGGCACGAAAGCGUGGGGAGCAAACAGGAUUAGAUACCCUGGUAGUCCACGCCCUAAACGAUGCGAACUGGACGUUGGGUGCAAUUGAGCAUUCAGUGUCGAAGCUAACGCGUUAAGUUCGCCGCCUGGGGAGUACGGUCGCAAGACUG
rnacentral:rRNA from 1 species